UGGUGAUCGUAAUUGGUUUCACUACUCUAAUCUUGAUGGUAUUUAUCAUAUACGGGGUGGUGACCUACUUUUUUGGUAAACGCAGCUAUCAUGUGGAAAAUAUAGAAGAAAAAUGUGGUGUUUAUGGAUUGGCGCUUGACGAAGAGAUAAUUUGAGCCCGGCAGCAAAAUAAAUAUAUUUUUUUCAAUUUAUUCUUUUUUAUCAGCAUAAUAAUAAUAAAUAUUUGACUUUGUUAAUACAAA